UCGCUCAGGUCUCCCAGCAUCGACGAAUAUGCGUUUCGCCUUUUACUAAACGCAUCCGUGCUGGGGGGCGCUUACAAUGAGCCUAAAUGGCAAUUUUUGUGGCCUCUUAUAGGGGCU
rnacentral:snRNA from 1 species